AAUUUGUGUCAAUUAUAUACAUAACAUUUGAUAUUGAUGUCAAAUAUGACUAAACUUAGAAGGACAUACCUUAAAUUCCCAAAUUACUGGCAUGGCCAUGGCCUUUAUUUUAUUCAAAAAAUAUUUCAUAUUAACAUCAGAUAUGACAAGUUUAAGUAAGUGUUCAAGUAAAACCCCAGAAAAAGGCUAUAAAUUGACAUCAAAAUGACUUAACAGUUGAAAAAAAAAAAA
rnacentral:misc_RNA from 1 species